CCUCUAGUCUUCUAAAGAAUGUUAUUUUGAUAUUAUCUUAAGUCAAAUACUUUAAACUUUAACUAAAUAAUUAGAUUGAGUUUGAAAAUAUAAAAGUGAUAUAAGUUGAUUCAUCUUAAAAUAUAGUUUCAUAAAAAUAUACUUUGACUAUAUUUUAUAAAUAUUUUAUAGUAAAAAAUAAUGAUCAAAGUUAUUUUUAGGAGGCCGUGUUGCUAUUAAAAAAAUGGUCAAAUAUUGUGUAGUAAGUAGCAUUGGUGACGUCAUGCUGGUUGACUCAUGCUAUGUGGUAACAGUGACAUCCGCUAACCAACUGCCUAUCCCACGCAUAUACAUGUGGUUGUAUUCAUUUGGUUCGUUUCCCGUUUUUUUGUGUUUCUUUCCUCCUGAUUUAUAAUUUUAUUAUUGUUUCUUUUAUUUUUAAAUUUUUGUUUUUUUCUCUCCAUACUUCUAUUCCCCUGUUUAUUGCUUUAUUUUCUUUCUUUAUUUGUUCCUUUCUUUAAUCUUUUAUUUCCCAAUUUAUUAAUUUAUUUUUGUUUGUACUACCAUGAACUAGCAAUGCGACCCAUGGAAAUAGCAUGGGUCAAUGGGUGAUAAGCUUUUCUCAUUGUAAUCAUUAGUUUUUUACUUGAAAACUUUAGUUUUCGAAAAAAAAUCUAAUAGGAGUUAUUUAUUUGUUUAACUAUAAUUGUCUUCUCUCGAUGCUCCCCAAUAGCAUACAUCAUCGCCAUGAACUCCAUAAAACUAUUGUCUACCAAUAUAUAGCUUGGCUUAAAGACUUCUCCUCUUCUUUUUUUUUUUAUUUCACUCCUGUCUCGUGGCUAUGCAAUUUCUGCCUAUCCAUAUGUAGUCUUCAGUUCUUUGUUGAGCUCAGUAAAUUCACUGUCCAAAGUAUCUCACAAAAUCUCUAGUUAUUUAUCCAUUUUUAUAUUUCAAGUUUUAAAUCAUCUCAUACCUUUAUAGAUCCAUGGUUGCCUGUAUUGCCCUAAACCAUCACCAGAUUUGUUGGGGGCAUUGUUUUCUCAAGCAGCUGCUAGCCGCCUUGUAAUCUCACCAACUUCAAUUGGCGCAAGCAUACAAAAAAAAGAAACUAUGCAACUAUCAUUGACACUAGUGAGUUGCGCUAAUCUCUGGCAUGCUACUUAUGCCACUCCAAUGCAUUGUUGUGAACCAUGCUAUGACCAUGUUUGUUUUCCACUUAUGACCACUUUUUCAUAACAAAGGAAAAAUACAAUUUAUUUCCAUUGUGGUGCUCGCGAACUUCCCAUACAUGAUAAUCUUGGAUGAUUGAACAUCUUAUCCUCUCUGUGGUCAUCACCAUGAAAGACAUCAGAUUUAGCGACAAUCACGGUAAUGACACAUUUUAUUUAAUUGUUUCCUUUUCACCAAUAUUGAUUGUGAUGCUAAGCCUUUCCUGCUUGGAACAUAGUGAAAGUGUGGAUCAACAAUCUCAUGGGUAGCUUGAGAUGGCGAGACUUAACACAAUGGGGUAAGAAUCGAUGUAAGAAUUUGAAGUGCUUCAAUGCUUUCUAUAUGGACAUGCUGAGAAACUAGCUAGUGGCCAGCUUGGAUAGCUAUUUUGCAUAUGUUUUAUCCCUCCCAUAGAUGUUUCUUAUAGUUUUAUUAUUUUUAUUACCAUGAAAAACUUGAGUUAUAAUGCUAUUUGAAUUUCCACGCCAUCAUCUCUUUCCAUACUUCAAUCUGUACUAUAUUUUUUUUAAUUUUCUUUAGAUGUGUUUUGGUAGAUCUAGACUAGUAGAAUCUAGAUCUAUAUGAUCAAUUAGUAGGUUUUAGCACUUGGGAGUGAAAAGAGAUGAAUUUUUAACUUUUCUUAUACCAAAACACUGGCUUUGUAGUAAUGCAUGUUUUCCAACGUAUUUAAAUCAAACUAAUACUAUUUCAUUUUCAAUGUUAAAUUUGGAUGUAUUUAAUUAUUAUUUAUGUGGACUGAUAUUUAGUUAAUUUUUAAUUUCCAAAUCAUUCGGUGAUCAAACCUUUAAUUAUUUAGUCUUCUAAACAGAAUUUUUCUUUACUAAUUAUGUUUUACAUGUACUCUUUAUUUAGGUAUUUUCUUUUGAAACUCGUAUAAAAUCAAGUUGUUCUUUCCCUU
rnacentral:lncRNA from 1 species